AGUGAACGCUGGCGGUAGGCCUAACACAUGCAAGUCGAACGGCAGCACAGUAAGAGCUUGCUCUUACGGGUGGCGAGUGGCGGACGGGUGAGGAAUACAUCGGAAUCUACUUUUUCGUGGGGGAUAACGUAGGGAAACUUACGCUAAUACCGCAUAUGACCUACGGGUGAAAGCAGGGGAUCUUCGGACCUUGCGCGACUGAAUGAGCCGAUGUCGGAUUAGCUAGUUGGCGGGGUAAAGGCCCACCAAGGCGACGAUCCGUAGCUGGUCUGAGAGGAUGAUCAGCCACACUGGAACUGAGACACGGUCCAGACUCCUACGGGAGGCAGCAGUGGGGAAUAUUGGACAAUGGGCGCAAGCCUGAUCCAGCCAUACCGCGUGGGUGAAGAAGGCCUUCGGGUUGUAAAGCCCUUUUGUUGGGAAAGAAAAGCAGCAGGUUAAUACCCCGCUGUUCUGACGGUACCCAAAGAAUAAGCACCGGCUAACUUCGCG
rnacentral:rRNA from 1 species